UGCGUACAUACUAGCCUCCCCAGAUCUUACUAAGUAAGAAUAUACUGGAUUGUUGUUGUUAUUGUCUUCCUUUAUAUACGCAGAAAAACAAAAAUUACCAAGGGGGUGUAAGAGAAAAUAAACUUACAUAUAAACAUGAAAAUCAGUAAACUUUGUUUGAAGUUGCUCGUCAGUGUAGAAAAGGCGUUCGUUGUCGGAGUACUGGGAGCUCAUAAGAAGAAUGACGAGUGCACCCACGAGGGAUACAAAGGCAACAAGUCUCACUACCAAUAUUACUGCUUUUCCCAUCUUCUUCAAACCUUCUCUAAUUCCCUCCUGAUUAUUACCAAUUAUUUCUUCUUUGUCCAUCUUUAUUUAUAAGAUUUUAGGAACAUCAAAUUUGUCAACUCUUUGAC
rnacentral:lncRNA from 1 species